rnacentral:rRNA from 1 species
AAUGAACGCUGGCGGCGUGCCUAAUACAUGCAAGUCGAGCGAACGGACGAGAAGCUUGCUUCUCUGAUGUUAGCGGCGGACGGGUGAGUAACACGUGGAUAACCUACCUAUAAGACUGGGAUAACUUCGGGAAACCGGAGCUAAUACCGGAUAAUAUUUUGAACCGCAUGGUUCAAAAGUGAAAGACGGUCUUGCUGUCACUUAUAGAUGGAUCCGCGCUGCAUUAGCUAGUUGGUAAGGUAACGGCUUACCAAGGCAACGAUGCAUAGCCGACCUGAGAGGGUGAUCGGCCACACUGGAACUGAGACACGGUCCAGACUCCUACGGGAGGCAGCAGUAGGGAAUCUUCCGCAAUGGGCGAAAGCCUGACGGAGCAACGCCGCGUGAGUGAUGAAGGUCUUCGGAUCGUAAAACGCUGUUAUUAGGGAAGAACAUAUGUGUAAGUAACUGUGCACAUCUUGACGGUACCUAUCAGAAAGCCACGGCUAACUACGUG